rnacentral:lncRNA from 1 species
UCCAAUAUAUUUAUGCUACGUUUGGAUUGAAAGAAUGAAAUUAGUUAAGGAUUGGAAUAAAUAAAAAAAUAGAAUAGAUAAAGUAAUAGAAUAAAUAAGAGAAUGGAAUGAUGAGUGAAAUGAUUCAUUCCAUUCCAGACCGGAAUAUUGACUCCUCCCAAAGAAUAAAAUUCACAAAUUCGACCAAAAUGAGAAUGGUUGUGGAACACCCAAAUAUAAUUUUUUUCAUUUCAUAGGAAUAAGUAAUUACAUUCCUGUCUUGAUUUUUCGAAUCCAAACAUAGCAUUAGAUGUUGUAAAUGAGGGAGAGAAUAGAGUAAAUGGUAGAGUGUUGGCCUUACCAGUGCGAACAACCUACAAUUAAUAAUAGUGAGUCUUGGAGGUGGUUAUUGUUGGGGGUAUGAACCCCCUAUUUAAUGGGGAGUAGUAAAUGUUUACUUGCUUCUGCUUCUGGUGCCGCUGAGCCUCUAUAUAUGGGCACCCCCAACUCCCCAAUUUAAGCCAUGCAAAAACAAUAUAGGAUUAUUUUAUGGCUCUUCUGCUUCUAAUUCAAUUCUGCCUGGUUUAAUUUGAAUUGAAUUAUCCCCAUCCAUCCAACCUGCAUUUGUAAAUACUAUAGUACAUUUCUCACCUACCACUAUGUGACCAUGCCGUAUUAUUAUAUAGGGAUUAUAUUAAAAUGGAAGAUAUUUAUGGGAUAGAGCACUCGUUUUUCUUUAGACAAAUGAACGUUGUUAUUAAAAUAUUUAAGACAAUUAUAAAUAUCAUAAAUUAUCUAAAAAGAAUUACUAAUUAUAAGAUUUAUUACUUUCAAAACUUAAAUAAAUUAUAUUAAUUUUAAAUUUAUAAAUAUCUUAAAUUAAUUUUUAAAAAAUAAAUAUUAAUCUUACAAUUUAAAAGAGAGUGUAGUAUACUAUAAUUAAGUACUAUGUUUUAACUAAUAGUAGAGAUAUAUUUUAAAAAAUACUUUUUACCUAAAAAUCAUUAUUUUUAAAAUAUAUCAAACAAUAUAUUAGUUUUUAUCAAUUUGAUACCCUAUAUUAUAUUAAUAAUAACCCCUCCAUCUCAAAAUAUAUACUACCUCCGUUCCUAAAAAAUUGUCGUUUAAAGUUAUGUGAAAAUAUCAUUUACCAAAUAAAAUUUAUUUGAAAUUCAUCACUACCCCUUUAUGAGAAGUUAAAAACUAUUAAUACAAGAGAAAUAAUUUUUUGAAACAAUGAGAGAAAGUAGGGGUAAUAUAAGAAAAUAAAUAAUUUAUUCUCCUCGAAAGUUAUAAACG